rnacentral:rRNA from 1 species
AGACCCGAAACCCGGUGAUCUAGCCAUGGGCAGGUUGAAGGUUGGGUAACACUAACUGGAGGACCGAACCGACUAAUGUUGAAAAAUUAGCGGAUGACCUGUGGCUGGGGGUGAAAGGCCAAUCAAACCGGGAGAUAGCUGGUUCUCCCCGAAAGCUAUUUAGGUAGCGCCUCGUGAAUUCAUCUCCGGGGGUAGAGCACUGUUUCGGCUAGGGGGCCAUCCCGGCUUACCAACCCGAUGCAAACUGCGAAUACCGGAGAAUGUUAUCACGGGAGACACACGGCGGGUGCUAACGUCCGUCGUGAAGAGGGAAACAACCCAGACCGCCAGCUAAGGUCCCAAAGUCAUGGUUAAGUGGGAAACGAUGUGGGAAGGCCCAGACAGCCAGGAUGUUGGCUUAGAAGCAGCCAUCAUUUAAAGAAAGCGUAAUAGCUCACUGGUCGAGUCGGCCUGCGCGGAAGAUGUAACGGGGCUAAACCAUGCACCGAAGCUGCGGCAGCGAACGUAUCACUUAAAGCGAUUCAGCGGGUUACGAUUGACGGAGCGAAGCGACGUCAAAGCGUAUACAAAGUCGAGUCGGUUUAAGGAUACGUUCGUUGGGUAGGGGAGCGUUCUGUAAGCCUGCGAAGGUGGCCUGUGAGGGUUGCUGGAGGUAUCAGAAGUGCGAAUGCUGACAUAAGUAACGAUAAAGCGGGUGAAAAGCCCGCUCGCCGGAAGACCAAGGGUUCCUGUCCAACGUUAAUCGGGGCAGGGUGAGUCGACCCCUAAG